rnacentral:rRNA from 1 species
CCUACGGGAGGCAGCAGUGGGGAAUAUUGGACAAUGGGGGCAACCCUGAUCCAGCCAUGCCGCGUGUGUGAAGAAGGCCCUCGGGUUGUAAAGCACUUUCAGUGAGGAAGAACGCCUGGUGGUUAAUACCCAUCAGGAAAGACAUCACUCACAGAAGAAGCACCGGCUAACUCCGUGCCAGCAGCCGCGGUAAUACGGAGGGUGCGAGCGUUAAUCGGAAUUACUGGGCGUAAAGCGCGCGUAGGUGGCUUGAUAAGCCGGUUGUGAAAGCCCCGGGCUCAACCUGGGAACGGCAUCCGGAACUGUCAAGCUAGAGUGCAGGAGAGGAAGGUAGAAUUCCCGGUGUAGCGGUGAAAUGCGUAGAGAUCGGGAGGAAUACCAGUGGCGAAGGCGGCCUUCUGGACUGCCACUGACACUGAGGUGCGAAAGCGUGGGUAGCAAACAGGAUUAGAUACCCUUGUAGUC